UUCAUUUAAUUCGCCUGUUUUCAGUGAGGUGCUUCAGCCCUCAACAAAGUCUGGUAUACCUAAGGAAAAAGUGCGUCUGGUUCAACCUCUCUUGUUAAUAAAAAUCAAGUCUUCUUCUGGGGUGAGGGGAGUAUGGGAGAAGGGAUAUAUGGCUGCUACCCUCCUGUAGCUUACAGUUUGUGUGUGUGUGUGUGUGUGUGUGUGUGUGUGUGUGUGUGUGUGUGUGUUUGAAGUUAGUGGUAUGAAAAGGUCCAUUGGCUUUAAUUUUGUAGCUGACUCAGACCCAGUGAUGACCUAUCUCUUUCAGGGUUUCUAAUUGCUAAAAUCCAAAGCAGACUUUUGAAAUCUUUUAUCUUGCACCUUUUAGAAUAGAAUUGUUAAGACUGAAAGAAGCUUGUACUUGUAGUUCUUAAAGGAAAAGGAAAAUGCUCUAGGGGUGCAUCAAAGGCAAAGACCCAAACAGGAAUGUUCAGAAAACUUCACGGGUUUCACAAUUUAAAGAGUUUUGAGGAAACUUUUCUGAACUGAAGCAUUCUCAAGAGAUUCCAAGGUGGCCUGAGAUUCCACAUUUCUUGGAUAGAAAGAUGUGGACUUGGCAGUGAUUUUGCAAAUCAGAACAAGAACAAUUUCACAAAUACAUUGGCAAGUGGCUAUGUCCCAGACUUGUUGUUGACUUAAGCCAGUAUUUAUGGAAUAACUCUCAUGUUCUGUGUAGUUGGUCAAGGAGUUGGAGGUAAAAGAUGAAUACCAUUCAGUAGCUUUGUGAAAAAUUCUAGACCAUGUUCAAAAGUUUUUUGUUUAUACUUGUAAUAUUUAUUUCUGUGGAAUGACACAAAAGUCUAUCUUGACAUGUCAGAAAAUGAUAACUAGGAGUUAUUUAUUCUUUUCUGAGUUUUUUUCCUUUUGUGAAUGUAACUUAAGAGUGACUCAUCACGUGUUUAAAAUUUAAAAUUUUCAUCAAAGAACACCAUCUGUCAUAAUGCAGUAAAAAAAGGAACAUUAUGUGAUUUUCUUUGAAGAUAAGGGAUUGAAAGUGAGUCAGUUAACUGCCCUAGAUUACCAUUUGAGGUCAUUUUGAACUAAAUUGGCUUUGGAAUCAGAAUUUAAAUUUCCAGUCAGACUCAGUUAAGAUAACUGGUCAUGAAGGCAGCUCAUUCACCUGCCUUCCUUCUCAUAAAAGGAAUAUUUUUAUUAUUUGUAUUCCUUUAUGGCCAAGUUAGGCAUAGGCAUUAUUUUUGAGAACAUAUACAUUUUACACAGUGAUUGAUUUAGGUGUUUAAGGGUGCUUUUGUAUCUAAAUAAGAAAUCAGAAAAAUCAUUCACUAUUUGGUUUUCUAGAGAUAUUCACAGUAGACCAUUUUGAAGUUGCUGGGAGGUAAAUCAAUAUAUUACUGAGUUAUAUUUUUGCUGCCCUGUGCAAUAUUAAGAGAAGAAGCUUUCACAAACAAACCCCAGUUAAAAUUAUUUAGUUAUAAUAAUAAAUGUAUAGUUGGACAUGUUUUAAGAAAACGUAAAUUAUAAAUAUGUGCAUUUAUUUUAACAAUUUACAUAUGCAUUUAUAAAACUAAACUUUCUGUUUGUGAUAAGUGAGUAUAAAAUUAUAUACAAAAUUAUAUGCUCUUUUAACUUACUCAACAUGAGAGAUUUAAAAUGACGAGGUUCGCUGUGAAUUUAAUCUUCACUUUUUUUAUUUACAGACUAGAACAAAUCAAUAUUUUUUCAAUUAUAAAAUUUUAGGAAUGGAAAAUUAUUAAAUGUACAAAGGGGGAGAGCUUUUAGAAUUUAGAACUACAAAGAAGGAAAACAAUUUAAACCUACAGAUGAAUUUGAUGGGAUUGGUUGUAUGUCUGCAGCUGUCUGGAAAAUUCAGGAAAUAAGGUGCCUUGUACUAGCUGGACACUGGAACUUCACAGGGAAACGAAAAUAUCUUGAAUGACUUGCUGAUGUUCUUUAAAUGAUGCUAAUAUCUAUUCUAUAAAACCUGAAAGUAUGUAGAUGUCAUUGUCUGUUUAGAAUCACAUGUCUUGGGAUUUGGGACUGUUGGCAAGAAGGUCGAUUUGAUUUAGACCAUGUAUUGAUCUACAUAUAUUUUUGAAAUAUUUUGGCUGAAAUGCAAUUUGGUAUGGUUAAGUCUUAUCCAUUUGUAACAUUUUAUCUUAAAACUAUAUCUAUAGAAGUUUUUAAAAAAUAAUGUAAAAAAUCAAAGUUGUAUUUUGAUGUUUAAUGCAUUGAUUUAAAAAAAUUAUAUACAGAGCAAAAUGUUUGAGUUUUUGAUGAUAUUUUGCUUAAAAUAUUAGGUGCAAAUGUCAGGUAAUUCUACAAUUAGAAUUGCAUCAUGAUACUUUGUGCAUGGAGACAGUACAAAACCAAAAAUGAUGAGACAAGUGAAAUCUUUAUUAAGGAAGGUCUAACAGCCCUAUCAGAUAGGUUUGCUUUUUCUUGGAAAAUUUGCUAAAAAAAAAAAUCAUCCAGGAAAUAAUGUGAUUAGAAAUGCUCAUUCAAUGUGCAUAUGUGUUUAAUCUACUCCACAAAGAUACUGUUUUUUGUAGCAUUGUUUUAUUGAACACAUUUUAUUAAAUUUUCUUAUCAAAACAGGCUUAUAUUGAAUUUAACAAUACCUUGGCAAAGUUGCAAUCUUUGUAAGUGUACAAGUAAGCUAGAUGGAUUACUAUUAAAAUACAAUUUCUAGUGUUACAGCUCUUUUAGAGUUUGUCUAGCAGAUUUUCUGUUUUUUUUUACCAAGAAGGAAAUGUCAGUUCUUAGUCUUCAUUUGGAAUUUAUAAAAAACGUUAAAAAUCACCAAGUUUUCCAAAAGUUUAUGCCAGACAAUUCAUUUGCUAUUUAAAAAUAAAGUGCAGUUUCUUAAUAAAAAGUAUAGCCUGAGUAUUGUCCCAUAUAAAUGAAUUUCCUGGGUUUGGGAGAAAAAAUUAAUACAUUGAAAUCAAUAGUUGACCAUAGAUUUAAAUAUGAUACAAAAGGUUUAAAAAUCUAAAUUGUCAUUGUUUACAAAAUAUUGGCAAAUUAGAGCUCCAGCGCUUGGUGUUAUUGUGUAAUCUUCUGUUUAAAAAUAAACAGUGGAAAUAAUUGUAAAAACCUCUGGGCUUAGAAAGGCUUGUUGGUGGUUCUUCACAUCCUACUAAAAAAGCAGGCUGUCUUUGCAUAUUAAUCACUCUGUGAAAGGAAGCUUGCCUUAUUUGCAUUGUGCAUGCACUAAGAAGUCCAAUAGUGCGCCUGAGAAAAAAAAAUGGGGGGAUUGUAAUUGUUGUUCUCAAAAGGGUUUUUAUUCCAUUCAAGUGGAAAAGCUGAAUACUGGAGAAUUAGUGCAGUGUUUUGUGGAAGAAGAGUCCCUUUUGGCCACUG